rnacentral:rRNA from 1 species
AAUGGGCGAAAGCCUGACGGAGCAACGCCGCGUGAGGGAUGAAGGCCUCUGGGCUGUAAACCUCUUUUAUCAAGGAAGAAGAUCUGACGGUACUUGAUGAAUAAGCCACGGCUAAUUCCGUGCCAGCAGCCGCGGUAAUACGGGAGUGGCAAGCGUUAUCCGGAAUUAUUGGGCGUAAAGCGUCCGCAGGCGGCCCUUCAAGUCUGCUGUUAAAAGUGGAGCUUAACUCCAUCAUGGCAGUGGAAACUGUUGGGCUUGAGUGUGGUAGGGGCAGAGGGAAUUCCCGGUGUAGCGGUGAAAUGCGUAGAUAUCGGGAAGAACACCAGUGGCGAAGGCGCUCUGCUGGGCCAUCACUGACGCUCAUGGACGAAAGCCAGGGGAGCGAAAGGGAUU